rnacentral:piRNA from 1 species
UCUGAAGGCCAUGACAUGAGAGUGCAUGU